rnacentral:tRNA from 1 species
GCCUAGUUCGCUUCGUUGGUAAAGCGUCUGCCUUGUAAGCGCUAGGCCGCGGGUUCGAUUCCCUCCCGGGGCG